rnacentral:snRNA from 1 species
AUGAGUUAGUUCUUCAUGUG